GAUGAACGCUGGCGGCGUGCCUAAUACAUGCAAGUCGAGCGAACAGACGAGGAGCUUGCUCCUCUGACGUUAGCGGCGGACGGGUGAGUAACACGUGGAUAACCUACCUAUAAGACUGGGAUAACCUCGGGAAACCGGAGCUAAUACCGGAUAAUAUAUUGAACCGCAUGGUUCAAUAGUGAAAGACGGUUUUGCUGUCACUUAUAGAUGGAUCCGCGCCGCAUUAGCUAGUUGGUAAGGUAACGGCUUACCAAGGCGACGAUGCGUAGCCGACCUGAGAGGGUGAUCGGCCACACUGGAACUGAGACACGGUCCAGACUCCUACGGGAGGCAGCAGUAGGGAAUCUUCCGCAAUGGGCGGAAGCCUGACGGAGCGACGCCGCGUGAGUGAUGAAGGUCUUCGGAUCGUAAAACUCUGUUAUUAGGGAAGAACAAAUGUGUAAGUAACUAUGCACGUCUUGACGGUACCUAGUCAGAAAGCCACGGCUAACUACGUG
rnacentral:rRNA from 1 species